UACGGAGGGUGCUAGCGUUGUUCGGAAUUACUGGGCGUAAAGGGCGCGUAGGCGGCCGUUUGCGUCGGAUGUGAAAGCCCGGGGCUCAACCUCGGAACGGCAUUCGAUACGGGACGGCUGGAGACCGGGAGAGGAGAGUGGAAUAGCCAGUGUAGAGGUGAAAUUCGUAGAUAUUGGCUGGAACACCGGUGGCGAAAGCGGCUCUCUGGCCCGUAAUUGACGCUGAGGCGCGAAAGCGUGGGGAGCAAACAGG
rnacentral:rRNA from 1 species